AGAUUGAACGCUGGCGGCAGGCCUAACACAUGCAAGUCGAACGGUAACAGGAAUCAGCUUGCUGAUUCGCUGACGAGUGGCGGACGGGUGAGUAAUGUCUGGGAAACUGCCUGAUGGAGGGGGAUAACUACUGGAAACGGUAGCUAAUACCGCAUAACGUCGCAAGACCAAAGAGGGGGACCUUCGGGCCUCUUGCCAUCGGAUGUGCCCAGAUGGGAUUAGCUAGUAGGUGGGGUAACGGCUCACCUAGGCGACGAUCCCUAGCUGGUCUGAGAGGAUGACCAGCCACACUGGAACUGAGACACGGUCCAGACUCCUACGGGAGGCAGCAGUGGGGAAUAUUGCACAAUGGGCGCAAGCCUGAUGCAGCCAUGCCGCGUGUAUGAAGAAGGCCUUCGGGUUGUAAAGUACUUUCAGCGGGGAGGAAGGGAGUAAAGUUAAUACCUUUACUCAUUGACGUUACCCGCAGAAGAAGCACCGGCUAACUCCGUGCCAGCAGCCGCGGCAAUACGGAGGGUGCAAGCGUUAAUCGGAAUUACUGGGCGUAAAGCGCACGCAGGCGGUUUGUUAAGUCAGAUGUGAAAUCCCCGGGCUCAACCUGGGAACUGCAUCUGAUACUGGCAAGCUUGAGUCUCGUAGAGGGGGGUAGAAUCCCAGGUGUAGCGGUGAAAUGCGUAGAGAUCUGGAGGAAUACCGGUGGCGAAGGCGGCCCCCUGGACGAAGACUGACGCUCAGGUGCGAAAGCGUGGGGAGCAAACAGGAUUAGAUACCCUGGUAGUCCACGCCGUAAACGAUGUCGACUUGGAGGUUGUGCCCUUGAGGCGUGGCUUCCGGAGCUAACGCGUUAAGCCGACCGCCUGGGGAGUACGGCCGCAAGGUUAAAACUCAAAUGAAUUGACGGGGGCCCGCACAAGCGGUGGAGCAUGUGGUUUAAUUCGAUGCAACGCGAAGAACCUUACCUGGUCUUGACAUCCACAGAACCCUGUAGAGAUACGGGGGUGCCUUCGGGAACUGUGAGACAGGUGCUGCAUGGCUGUCGUCAGCUCGUGUUGUGAAAUGUUGGGUUAAGUCCCGCAACGAGCGCAACCCUUAUCCUUUGUUGCCAGCGGUCCGGCCGGGAACUCAAAGGAGACUGCCAGUGAUAAACUGGAGGAAGGUGGGGAUGACGUCAAGUCAUCAUGGCCCUUACGACCAGGGCUACACACGUGCUACAAUGGCGCAUACAAAGAGAAGCGACCUCGCGAGAGCAAGCGGAUCUCAUAAAGUGCGUCGUAGUCCGGAUUGGAGUCUGCAACUCGACUCCAUGAAGUCGGAAUCGCUAGUAAUCGUGGAUCAGAAUGCCACGGUGAAUACGUUCCCGGGCCUUGUACACACCGCCCGUCACACCAUGGGAGUGGGUUGCAAAAGAAGUAGGUAGCUUAACCUUCGGGAGGGCGCUUACCACUUUGUGAUUCAUGAC
rnacentral:rRNA from 1 species